GACGAACGCUGGCGGCGUGCUUAACACAUGCAAGUCGAGCGGUAAGGCCCUUUCGGGGGUACACGAGCGGCGAACGGGUGAGUAACACGUGGGUGACCUGCCCUUAGCUCUGGGAUAAGCCUGGGAAACUGGGUCUAAUACCGGAUAUGACUCCAUGACGCAUGUUGUGGGGUGGAAAGCCUUGUGCGGCUAGGGAUGGGCCCGCGGCCUAUCAGCUUGUUGGUGGGGUGAUGGCCUACCAAGGCGACGACGGGUAGCCGGCCUGAGAGGGCGACCGGCCACACUGGGACUGAGACACGGCCCAGACUCCUACGGGAGGCAGCAGUGGGGAAUCUUGCGCAAUGGGCGAAAGCCUGACGCAGCGACGCCGCGUGAGGGAUGACGGCCUGGUUG
rnacentral:rRNA from 1 species